GCAGACAAUUUUCAUUUUUACUAUCCAACCGUUCGCGCUUUUUGCCAAGUUCGCAUUGAAAUUUAAUUCCACAAAAGUUUUCAGAGACUCUGCUUCUCCUGCGCCUGGUAAUUUUCCCCCUACCGUCUGCAUUCCUCCGAGUCGCGUGUGCACCGACCUGUUGUAUCUUUUCUCCACUCUGGUGAAAUAAUUUUUAUAUUUGUACAUAAGCAUGCAAAUGCAUUUCGCAAGGAUUCCUGAAGGUGCAGCGAAUUUCCCUGCCAUUCCUCACAGUUUUCCCGCAAAGACCAAGAAGAGCCAAAAAAACGAUCAGGAUGAUCAACUUCAUGUUGGGGCGAGGGCUGGUUAAGUGUCUCCAGC